rnacentral:rRNA from 1 species
UACGAAGGGGGCUAGCGUUGUUCGGAAUUACUGGGCGUAAAGCGCGCGCAGGCGGUUCUUCAAGUCAGAGGUGAAAGCCCAGAGCUCAACUCUGGAAUGGCCUUUGAGACUAGAGAACUUGGGUACGGGAGAGGUGAGUGGAAUUCCGAGUGUAGAGGUGAAAUUCGUAGAUAUUCGGAAGAACACCAGUGGCGAAGGCGGCUCACUGGCCCGUUACCGACGCUCAGGCGCGACAGCGUGGGGAGGCAAACAGG